GACGCGACGCGUGAACGCGCUCAGUGGAAAUAUUUCGUUGAGAGAAUGAAAUAUGUGCAAAGAUUAAGACCACAUUUACUAGGAUCAAAGCAGACAUAUACUGUGAUCAAAAAAUGUAUAUAAUACAUGAAGGCUCUCUGAUUCCAAACGUCUUUGUUACUAGGCACGAAUAACAAAUGAUACACGAAGGCGCUCGAGUCAGGUGAGAUUGCUGAUUAUCUCUGUUGCUAGUCGCGAUCCGCAGUUGUCACAUUGCGUUAUAUCUUCAGUGAGUCGCAACGUACUCUUGCGAAAAAGUCAGUGUUACUCUCUUAUAUAAAUAUAUAUACGUGUUAGUGUAUACGGUGUGCAGAACAAUUAUUGCAAUUUGUAUUAAACAAUUAUUGCAUUUACCAAACUCAAAGAUAUCUAUGCUAGAUACUUUGCCAAACACCAUGCCAGAUGAGAACAUGAAUGAGAUAUUACAUAGUCUACAAUUACAAGAAUUGAUUCCCGUCUUUGAAAAUUCCUGGUGAUGUUACUAAACUUAGAGAAGAUUACGUCAAGAAGUGUAAGGAAUUGAAACUAUUCAACCGUACAUUAUCGUUGUUGGACACACAUUGCACGAAAUCAGCACUUCUUAUUUAUGCAUUAACGACGUGUUGUACAGUACACCUUCAACUGUGGAAGCUGUCGACGCUUGCUUCAAGACGUUCCACGUGCUUCAGUUACAGUAUCCCACGGCAAGUGAACACUUAUGGUUAGUUAUACAAAAAUGUAUUUAUAAGUUAACAAUCAAGUGAGAUACAAUAAUACCUAGUACUGAACACAUUAUAAAGAUGUUAAAUAACGACAAUGAGUUAUAAGAAACAAUUAAUGUAGACAGUAGAUUCCGUCAUGCAUAUUACACCUUUCGAGUACUACACUAGUUAUUCCACUUGAAUGCAAUUUUAUUUCUAAUUAUUAUUGUUCCAAUUAUUUUGAGUUUGCAAGUAGUAAAAUUUUAAAAUUUUGUUGCAUUUUCCACUUAUUUCAUUAUAUGUAAGAUGUUGCGUUGUUUCUUUUGUUCCCAUUCAUUAUUAUCCAUAGAUUAUUUAAUGUGCCAUAUAAAAUUAAGACAUAAGCCACUUAUGUGCAAUGCAGUAAAAUGCAAUUUUGAAAAUUGUUCACAAAUUUAUAACAACAUAUACUUCUUAAAAAGGCAUAUUCUGUCUAAUCAUAUCAAUAAUUCGAAGCAUGUGCAAUACGUUAGUACGGUUAAAAGUACACGAAAAAAAAAAAAAUCUAUUUUACAAUUCACUAUACACUCGAUUAAUGAUUAUUUGGUGCAAGAGAGUAGUAGUAUUAUUGACAUUAUAUCAAGUACUUGUAACGAAAGCAAUGACAUGAAUAUAUUACAAGUACAAGAAAAAAUUAGUAAAGCUGCUACUCUUAUUGUAGCAAAAUUAUAUGCUUAUGGAACGUUAAGCCGUAAAGUUGUUAACGAUAUCAUUAAAACUAUUUCAUUAUUUUAUAAUAGCAUUUGCUUAUCAAUACUGAGAAUUAAAUAUAACAAUAUUGAUGGUUUGGAAGACAUAUUGCAGGUGAUAGAAAACGCGUUUAAUAAUUUUAAAACUGAACAUUCUACUUUUCAAUAUUUACAGAAUAUUGGUAGUUUAAUAAUGCCCUCAACUAUAACAAUAGAUACAUCAAUAAUAUUUAGUCAACUUAACAAAAA
rnacentral:lncRNA from 13 species